rnacentral:rRNA from 1 species
AGAGUUUGAUCCUGGCUCAGAACGAACGCUGGCGGCAGGCCUAACACAUGCAAGUCGAGCGCUAAGCUAACCUUCGGGUUAGUGGAGAGCGGCGGACGGGUGAGUAACGCGUGGGAACAUACCCUUUGGUGGGGGAUAACGGUUGGAAACGACCGCUAAUACCGCAUACGCCCUGGACUUAGGUUUGGGGGAAAGAUUUAUCGCCGAAGGAUUGGCCCGCGUUGGAUUAGCUAGUUGGUGGGGUAACGGCCUACCAAGGCAACGAUCUAUAGCUGGUCUGAGAGGAUGAUCAGCCACACUGGGACUGAGACACGGCCCAGACUCCUGCGGGAGGCAGCAGUGGGGAAUAUUGGACAAUGGGCGCAAGCCUGAUCCAGCCAUGCCGCGUGAGUGAAGAAGGCCUUAGGGUUGUAAAACUCUUUCACCGGUGAAGAUAAUGACGGUAACCGGAGAAGAAGCCCCGCUAACU